rnacentral:rRNA from 1 species
AGCAGUAGCCGCGGUAAUACGUAGGUGGCAAGCGUUGUCCGGAAUUAUUGGGCGUAAAGCGCGCGCAGGCGGAUAGGUCAGUCUGUCUUAAAAGUUCGGGGCUUAACCCCGUGAUGAGAUGGAAACUGCCAAUCUAGAGUAUCGGAGAGGAAAGUGGAAUUCCUAGUGUAGCGGUGAAAUGCGUAGGUAUUAGGAAGAACACCAGUGGCGAAGGCGACUUUCUGGACGAAAACUGACGCUGAGGCGCGAAAGCCAGGGGAGCGAACGGGAUUAGAGACCCCAGUAGUCCCUGUCUCUUAUACA